GUCCCUGUAGCGCAGUGGAUAGCGCGCUGGACUUCUAAUCCAGAGGUCGCGGGUUCGAAUCCCGCCAGGGAUG
rnacentral:tRNA from 2 species